UACAGAGGUCCCAAGCGUUGUUCGGAUUCACUGGGCGUAAAGGGUGCGUAGGUGGUCGGGUAAGUCUGAUGUGAAAUCUCUGGGCUCAACCCAGAAAUGGCAUUGGAUACUAUUCGGCUAGAGGAGUGGAGGGGGGGACUGGAAUACUUGGUGCAGCAGUGAAAUGCGUAGAUAUCAAGUGGAACACCAGUGGCGAAGGCGAGUCCCUGGACACUUCCUGACACUGAGGCACGAAAGCUAGGGGAGCAAACAGG
rnacentral:rRNA from 1 species